CAGAGCGGGAUGUGGAGGGAGUGUCGGGGGUGGUUGCUGAGGCAGAUGUGACAGAUUAAAGGUGUGAAAAUGAUCAUCUAAGCUCUCCUUACUGUUGCUGUGCAAGCUCACAGUUUUUAUGCAAUGACAGAUUGUUAGCAACAUUUGAGGUAUAAAUAAUAAGGUGGUUAAUGUGGCAAAACUGUGAGUGUGUUGACAACCUGUCUGACAGUCCCAGUGCUCAUUUGUUCCCCUGUUGAAUAUUAUAGCUACGUCCUGCUCCCAGAUCUCAGAAAUAGAGGAAGGACAAAAAGAAGAAGAGCCAAAUUGUAAUAAACCACAAUUGUUGUUGUUCAAGUGCCUCUGGUCACAAAACAGCACCUGAAGACAAAAUUUCACAGCUGUUUAAACUCACUGCAUAUUUCAAAAUCUGUGUUCUGUUUCUAAUAACCUGGAAACGCCUGCUUUGAAAUUUGUCUCAAAAUGCAGGGACGUCUGAGUCACGCUGAACAGCGGCAGGACAGGAGGCUGAAUACCGAUACAUCGCAGUCCCCUUUGAAGAAAGUCUUGACAGUUGCAGGGAGUUCAGACAGAGCCAGAAAUGAAAAAGAAGUGGUCAGAUCUUAAGGUGGAGGCAACAAAAAAGACUUGCGCACCAUCGUCAGAGUGUGUCUGCAACUGGAGGGGGCGAGACCACACCUGAGCUCACACCGCUGGACGCACAAAUAGCUGCAAUACUCAAGACGCAAUUCUUCCAGAGUCGGGAGCGGUAGGUUGGUGAGGAGGUUCCCGGCGAGGAAGCUGUAGCAGCAGAGCGUCCAGCUGUCCUCAGCACCAGUGCAUCCGGCGCGCAUGGUGUGUCUGGAAGUGGCCGGGUUCUGACCCGAAGCUGUCCUACAGACACAGAGGGACACCAUCAGUGCUAUUACUGUCACAGCAGAUGAGUUUAAACAGAUUAGAGCUGUGAUGUGUGAAAUAUCUGACACAUUAAAUGAACUUUUGCAUUGCUGUCUUUUCAUAA